rnacentral:lncRNA from 1 species
UUUUUUUUUCCUUUAAAUGCGACGAAACCCUAUAAUUGAAUCAACGAUGCUUUUUCCCCUUCGUUAUCUUUGAAAAAUCGAAAUGAAAAUCUUCUUCACUUGACUGAUAAGUCAUUUUCUCAUCAAGAUUAAAUGGUAUACACUAAAAUGCGCAAAUUGUGUAUGAAGAACAGGAUGAUCAUGAUGAUUCCAGCUCAAGCAGUGUUCGUCACAAUAAACGUGGGUACACCAGACAAGUAAAUUUCAUUUCUACUUUUUUUUUCUUUUUUUUCUUUUUUUUUUUUUUAUAUUCUUAUCUGUUAAAAAAUCUUUGAAUUAGAGUGAAAUAAAAGUAAAGUGUGUUAUUUAAAAAAAAAAUAAAAAUAGUAGGAAUAGAGAAAUGAGGAAUGGAGAUAUGGUGAAUCCAGGCUUACGAUGAGGCCCCCAAAGGUUAAUUGAUUUAUUUCUUUCUCAAUUCUUUCAGUUUUAGCAGUCAAGACAAUGUUAGUUCCCGUCAUAUUUUAGAUUUUGGAAAUAAUCUGAAGAAAGAACAAAAAUAAACCCCUGUUGAAUUUUUGAGAUUUCCCAAAAUAAAUUUUUAAAAAGGUUCUGACACAGAAGAAAACAAACUCUGAUUUGAAGCCAAUAUCUAGCAACUUAAUCUAGUGAAGUAUGUGGAUGCUUUUUACCAAGUAGUGUAAAAAAUUAAUCAAGAUUGAUGAAGAAACAACAAAUACACAGAUUUUUUGCCAAAUGUUUCCCAGCAAUCUUUAGCUUUUUUACCUCCUGUAAAUAAUCCAUCCAAAACUUUUAUAUUUGGCAAAAAAAAUUAAUGAUCAAAAGCUAUUGUAGAAUUUGAAGCUGUGUUCAAUUAUUAGAAAGUCGCACAUUAAAUUUUGAGAUCUGGAUAUUGCUCUGUUUUGGUGGAGAAAUGGGAAGUUCAAAGGACGAAAUAGUUGUUGCUGUGAUCACAAUGGGUGGACCCACAAGAGGUAUGGUUAUUGUUUAUAUUUUUUUUUUCCUUUCAUCUUUAAUUAACUAAUUUUACUAUGUAUGAUUGCAAUGUGGUAUUGAUUAGAAUUUGAUUGCUCUUAGAGGGAAUAAUGAGUUCUUUUAUUAUAUUGAUUAUAACUAUUGAAAAUAUUUUAGUUUUAACUAAAUAUUUGGAUUUUCGGAUUGAAUAAGAUUACCCUUUUGUUGAUAUUACUUUUUCUAUAGGAAAAAUUAAGAUUUUUCUUUUUAAUUGAGAUUUUUAGGUGCAAGCACUAGAUUUAGGCCAUUGUUAUUAAAUAUUCCAAGGCCAUUUUUUUCACCAGUAGGGCAGCCCAUGGUUCAUCAACCAAUCUCUGCUUGUAAAAGGGUAUGAAAUUUCAUUGAAUUUAUAUCCAUAGCGAAAAGAUCGAAUAAUUUUGGAUCACUGGUAUCUCAUGAGUUUUAGGAAGGCAUUUUGUGACAUCAAACUUACAAAUAAAAUAUCAUUUACUCCAGGUAAUCAAAGGGGUUAUUAUGUUAAUUGAAAUUUUUUGAAGUAGCUCACAUAUUUGUACAAGUUUUGUAAAUGGUAUUUAAUGGAAUUAAUAUAUAUCACUUGGUCAUGGAAUUAAUAAUUCUUGUUAUCAGAUAAAUGUCUAUUUCUGUGUGUUAAGAAAUACUGUUGCUGGAUCUUCUCUGCAACCUAUCAGACUAACAAAUGCAAGGAUGUGUUCUAAAUAAGAGCAUCAAUCUCCCCAUUUAUACCAAUUGAUAGGUCUAUAAGUUUUGCAAUUGUAAUUUGUAAGGGCGAAAAGGGUAACUUAUGCUUACCCAAGUCAAGUUUCUUACCUUUUAUGGUGAUCUAUGUUCUCUGCACAGAAUUGAUGUUAAGGUUUCCAAAUUGAAGAAAGAACUUGAUGCGCUUAAAUCAUCAAAUAAUCAUACUGGGGAUGGUCAUGAAACAAACAUUCAAGAUAAUGCAAUUCUGAGACAGUGGUUCCUGUGGAAAGGAAUCGACAUCCAAUAGCCGCUAAUGGUUGAGGACUAGAACUAGCUUUAGUUUAUGAGGUGGUAUAUUUGUUGGCUUUUGUAUCAAACACUCGGUGGACAGUAUCUAUUAUGUCGUUGUUUAAUGUUGAAAGCGAUAUUUGCAGUUGGUUGUAAUUAAUUAAUGUAGAGAGAUGUUUCGAAAAUAGAUAAAGUUGAGUAAUUUUUAAUUCAUAAACAAGAGUUUGGAAAAAGAAGAUAACUAAUAAGUUUAGAUAAAAUCAAGUAGAAAAAUUGAUGUGUACAAAGAGAAGAACAUUGAUAAUGAUCGAUAAGUGGUGUAAAGAGAAAAAAACAUUGGUUAUAAUUGGAGAACCUACAUGGAAAUAAUGAAUAUAUCAGUUCAAUUUAACAAAACCUUGGAAUACCGACCAAAUACAUAGCCAUUGGAAUCCCUAACCUAAAGGGUCUGAUUUGCGCUAAACUUCCUCUCUCUCUAGAUUUUGGCCUACUGCUCUUUUCUCUGUUUUGUUGAUUGCUUGGUACAAUGGAUGUUCAUAAUGAUUUUUUUUGUGGAUUUUUUUUUUUUUUUUUUAAAGAUUGCGCAAUCAAUUUGAAGAUUCCUACAUCUAGACCGUUGAUUUUUAUUUCUUCCUUUUGUGUUCAUCCUUCUCAAUGGCUCUAUUCGGAUUGUACAUUUACAGGUAGUUUAUAUUUUUCUAUUUUUUUCUGCAUUUUGUUUUGGGAGCUUUCAAAUUUUCUUAUUUAUUAGCUAGAAACGUACAAAAAUAUAUAGUAAAUUGAAGGGCUUGAGAAGGUGUAAGAUGUGUGAUAUUUUUUUAUAAAGAGUCCGAGGAAUGUGAAGCUGCAUAAUUAGCACAUAUGGCGUCUUUAGACAAAAAACACAUAUCAUUUUCGAUACUUUGUCCCUCCAAACCCAAAGACCCUAUAAUGUCUUUAUAAUAUAUACUUUCUACAUGUGGAUGAGUCUUAGUUUGGUAGGGUUGUGAUAAUUUCAACCUUUCUACUUUAUAAUAUGGAACCUUAUUGGUUGGUAGACAGUGUAUUCUUACAAUGUACUGACAUGUGAAUGUGAUUGUUUUGAUCAUCAUAUUUUGAGUUGACUGUUCCUUGUGCUAGCAUGUGUAAAGUAUUGCAACGUAAAAGAAGAAUUGUCAUAGAGAUUAAGCUCUAGACUUGGUUACUUUUGCAUCAUCCUUUUUGUUUCUUGAAAAGAUGCUUGCACGUGAUUCACUAAUCCUUGAUGUUGAUUUUAUUGCAUGUAUGAACAUCUUUCAUUUUUUUUGUAUUGCAUUGAUGUUAAUUUUGAACUAGAUGAUACCGUUUACAACUCUUUUGCUAUAAUAGUCAUAUGUUAAAAUAUUCCUUCGUUGAGAUAGAUUGGUCAUGUUUUAGUUUCUCAUAAUUGCAGGUUCCAAAUAGAGCUACUAGCCAUUACCUUCUCGCCAGACUUGCAAUUUCCCUGAACAAGUAAAUUAAAUUACAUUUUGCUUCUGUCAUUUAUUCAAUGAUACAAGAAGUUCAGUGUACAAAAGUUCAUUCAUUUCUCUUUGUGCCAUAUAAUCAUUACUAGAGUCAAAAUAAAUAAAUUUUAUUCAAAUGGAAAUUAGAAUUCUGGCAAUGAACAUAAGUUAUCAAUUUUUGUCUCUUCAAAUGCUUUACUUGAGAAAGUUCUCCUUUGUCUGGAACAUAAUUUAUGGUCUUGAAUAUAUUAUUUUUUUAAUGUUGUUACCUCAAAA